UCUUUCGCAAUGGACGAAAGUCUGACGGAGCAACGCCGCGUGAGUGAUGAAGGUUUUCGGAUCGUAAAACUCUGUUGUUAGGGAAGAACAAGUACCGUUCGAAUAGGGCGGUACCUUGACGGUACCUAACCAGAAAGCCACGGCCAACUACCUGCCAGCAGCCGCGGUAAUACGUAGGUGGCAAGCGUUGUCCGGAAUUAUUGGGCGUAGAGCGCGCGCAGGCGGUUUCUUAAGUCUAAUAUGAAAGCCCCCGGCUCAACCGAGGAGGGUCAUUGGAAACUGGGGAACUUGAGUGCAGAAGAGGAGAGUGGAAUUCCACGUGUAGCGGUGAAAUGCGUAGAGAUGUGGAGGAACACCAGUGGCGAAGGCGACUCUCUGGUCUGUAACUGACGCUGAGGCGCGAAAGCGUGGGGAGCGAACAGG
rnacentral:rRNA from 1 species